GAAAUCCUGGGCAACUGGGAAAGUAAAGUGGCGCACGGGUGAGUAACGCGUGGGUAACCUACCCUUAAAUUGGGAAUAACUCUUCGAAAGGAGAGUUAAUACCGGAUAAUGUUCUGAUCCCCUUGGGGUUUGGAACCAAAGAUGGCCUCUGCAUGCAAGCUAUCGUUUAAGGAUGGGCCCGCGUACCAUUAGCUUGUUGGCAGGGUAAUGGCCUACCAAGGGAAAGA
rnacentral:misc_RNA from 1 species